rnacentral:rRNA from 1 species
GAUGAACGCUAGCGGCAGGCUUAAUACACGCAAGUCGUGGGGCAGCAUGAGUGUAGCAAUACAUUUGAUGGCGACCGGCAAACGGGUGCGGAACACGUACACAACCUUCCUUCAAGUGGGGAAUAGCCCAGGGAAACUUGGAUUAAUACCCCGUAAUAUUAUGGAGUGGCAUCACUUUAUAAUUAUAGCUCCGGCGCUUGAUGAUGGGUGUGCGCCUGAUUAGGAGUUGGCGGGGUAACGGCCCACCAAGCCUUCGAUCAGUAACUGGUGUGAGAGCACGACCAGUCACACGGGCACUGAGACACGGGCCCGACUCCUACGGGAGGCAGCAGUAAGGAAUAUUGGUCAAUGGACGCAAGUCUGAACCAGCCAUGCCGCGUGAAGGAUGAAGGCCCUCUGGGUU